rnacentral:rRNA from 1 species
UACGUAGGGUCCGAGCGUUGUCCGGAGUUACUGGGCGUAAAGGGCGCGCAGGCGGCGGUGCUGGCCCGGCGUGAAAGCCCCCCGGCUCAACCGGGGAGGGUCGUCGGGGACCGCACCGCUUGAGGGCGGUAGGGGCUGGUGGAAUGCCUGGUGUAGUGGUGAAAUGCGUAGAGAUCAGGCGGAACACCCGUGGCGAAGGCGGGCUCAC